GACAGAGGGGGCAAGCGUUGCUCGGAAUUACUGGGCGUAAAGGGCGCGUAGGCGGGAUGGCAAGUCGGUCGUGAAAUCCUUCGGCUCAACCGAAGAACGUCGAUCGAUACUGCUGUUCUAGAGGAUUGCAGAGGAGACUGGAAUUCCCGGUGUAGCGGUGAAAUGUGUAGAGAUCGGGAGGAACACCGGUGGCGAAGGCGGGUCUCUGGGCAUUAACUGACGCUGAGGAGCGAAAGCAUGGGGAGCGAACAGG
rnacentral:rRNA from 1 species